ACGAGGUUAAGAUACUAAGGGCAUACGGUGGAUGCCUUGGCGCCAAGAGCCGAAGAAGGACGCGGAAAGCUGCGAAAAGCUCCGGGGAGCCGCAAGCAGGCUUAGAUCCGGAGGUGUCCGAAUGAGGCAACUCAGCCGGAGUAAUAUCCGGCUACCGUGCACUGAAUAGAUAGGUGUACGGGGGGAACCGGGGGAACUGAAACAUCUCAGUACCCCGAGGAAAAGAAAGCAACAGCGAUUCCCUGAGUAGCGGCGAGCGAAAGGGGAGGAGCCUAAACCAUACCUGUGUAAACCUGCCGGUGUUGCAGGUAUGGGGUAGAGGGGCAAAUCAGGCAGCGCGGCAGAGCUGCCAGGGAGUAAGAAACCUUAUCUAUAGGCGAAGAGGACUGGAAAGUCCCGCGACACAAGGUAAAAGCCCUGUAGCCGAAAUAGAUGAGGCUCCCGAUUUGACCCCGAGUACCACGGGACACGAGGAACCCUGUGGGAAUCCGGGAGGACCACCUCCCAAGGCUAAAUACUCCUUGGCGACCGAUAGUGAACUAGUACCGUGAGGGAAAGGUGAAAAGCACCCCGGGAGGGGAGUGAAAGAGAACCUGAAACCGUGUGCCUACAAGCAGUCAGAGCCCGAUUCGAGGUUCGAAGUUGGAGGUUCGAGGUUGGAUGGUAGGGGGUAAAAAGUAGGAUGAUAAAAAGCUAUAAAGAUUUAGAAAUCUAUCAGCUAUCCUACGAAUUAGCCCUAGAGAUCCAUCAAUUAACCUUCAACUUUCCACGGAGUGAACUGUAUGAGCUGGGUAGCCAGUUACGAAGAGCUGUAAUGUCAAUACCAUUAAACAUAGCCGAAGGAUAUGGUUUAAAGAGUUAUCAGAAUGCAUUUAGGAAGCAUCUGAUGAUUGCAAUAGGAUCCUGUAAUGAAGCAAUGGUAUUGUUAGACAUGACAAGAGAUUUAGGCUAUCUAGAUAAAGAAAAGCAUCAAAAUUACACUGAACAAUACGAUAAGCUGGGACGCAAGAUAUAUAAGCUCAUACAGACGUGGAAAUAAGGCUGAAGGUUCGAACUUCGAACAUCGAACUUCGAACCUCGACGGGUAAUGGCGUGCCUUUUGUAGAAUGAACCGGCGAGUUACGGUAGCAAGCGAGGUUAAGGCGGGGAGCCGGAGCCGAAGCGAAAGCGAGUCUGAAGAGGGCGAUAAGUUUGCUGCCGUAGACCCGAAACCGGGUGAUCUACCCAUGUCCAGGGUGAAGCGGGAGUAAAGUCUCGUGGAGGCCCGAACCGACCGACGUUGAAAAGUCGGCGGAUGAGGUGUGGGUAGGGGUGAAAUGCCAAUCGAACCCGGAGAUAGCUGGUUCUCCCCGAAAUAGCUUUAGGGCUAGCCUCAGGGGAUGAGUUAUGGAGGUAGAGCACUGAAUGGGCUAGGGGCCUGAGCAAGGUUACCGAACCUUAUCAAACUGCGAAUGCCAUAACUUGGACCCUGGGAGUCAGACUAUGAGGGAUAAGCUUCAUAGUCGAGAGGGAAACAGCCCAGACCGCCGAUUAAGGUCCCGAAGUACAGGCUAAGUGGGAAAGGAUGUGCAGCUGCAUAGACAACCAGGAUGUUGGCUUAGAAGCAGCCAUCAUUUAAAGAGUGCGUAAUAGCUCACUGGUCGAGUGGUUGUGCGCCGAAAAUGUCCGGGGCUAAGCCUGUCACCGAAAUCGCGGCUUAUUCGAGGUUCGAAGUUGGAGGUUCGAGGUUCGAAGCAAGCAGAAAUCCUAAGGUCUAAGCAUAAAGUAAGGACCCGGGAGGAAUGCCAAGAUCGAACAUCAAACUUCUAACAUCGAACUUCGAGUAGGGGUAGGGGAGCGUUCCAUGGGCGGAGAAGGCAUACCGUGAGGAGUGCUGGAGCGCAUGGAAGUGAGAAUGCCGGUAUAAGUAUGCGAAAAGGCAGGUGAGAAUCCUGCCCGCCGAAAACCUGAGGUUUCCUGGGGAAGGCUCGUCCGCCCAGGGUAAGUCGGGACCUAAGCCGAGGCCGAAGAGGCGUAGGUGAUGGACAAUCGGUUGAAAAUCCGAUACCACCAUACAACCGAUAUUACGAAGGGGUGACGCAGGAGGCUAGGGAGAGCCGGUGAUUGGAAGGACCGGUCCAAGCCAGUAGGGAGUGAGGCAGGCAAAUCCGCCUCACGGAAAUCCUGAGAGGUGAAGGGGAGCCCGUAAGGGCGAAGCUUCUGACGCCAAACUGCCGAGAAAAGCCUCUAAGGAGGGGGUAUGGUGCCCGUACCGGAAACCGACACAGGUAGGUGAGGAGAGAAUCCUAAGGCGAGCGAGAGAACCCUCGUUAAGGAACUCGGCAAAAUGACUCCGUAACUUCGGGAGAAGGAGUGCCGCUAGAUGUGAAGGGCUGCGCGCCUGGAGCAUAGAGCGGUCGCAGAGAAGAGGCCCAAGCGACUGUUUACCAAAAACACAGGUCCCUGCCAAAGCGAAAGCUGACGUAUAGGGGCUGACGUCUGCCCGGUGCCGGAAGGUUAA
rnacentral:rRNA from 1 species